rnacentral:tRNA from 1 species
GCCAGUGUGGUGUAAUGGUUUGAGUGUUAGAUCAUCACUCUGGACACCAGGGUUCAAAUCCCUGCUCAGCCA